UACGUAGGGUGCGAGCGUUGUCCGGAAUUAUUGGGCGUAAAGGGCUCGUAGGCGGUUUGUCACGUCGGGAGUGAAAACUCGGGGCUUAACUCCGAGCCUGCUUCCGAUACGGGCUGACUAGAGGUAUGCAGGGGAGAACGGAAUUCCUGGUGUAGCGGUGAAAUGCGCAGAUAUCAGGAGGAACACCGGUGGCGAAGGCAGGUCUCUGGGCCGAUACUGACGCUGAGGAGCGAAAGCGUGGGGAGCGAACAGG
rnacentral:rRNA from 1 species